rnacentral:rRNA from 1 species
AGUGAACGCUGGCGGUAGGCCUAACACAUGCAAGUCGAACGACAGCACAGUAAGAGCUUGCUCUUACGGGUAGCGAGUGGCGGACGGGUGAGGCAUACAUCGGCAUCUACUUUUUCUUGGGGGAUAACGUAGGGCAACUUACGCUAAUAGCGCAUACGACCUACGGGUUAAAGCAGUAGAUCUUCGGACCUUGCCCGUCUGAAUGAGCCGAUGCCGGAUUAGCUAGUUGGUAAGGUAACGGCCUACCAAGGCAACGAUGCGUAGCCGACCUGAGAGGGUGAUCGGCCACACUGGAACUGAGACACGGUCCAGACUCCUACGGGAGGCAGCAGUAGGGAAUCUUCCGCAAUGGGCGAAAGCCUGACGGAGCAACGCCGCGUGAGUGAUGAAGGUCUUCGGAUCGUAAAACUCUGUUAUUAGGGAAGAACAAAUGUGUAAGUAACUAUGCACGUCUUGACGGUACCUAAUCAGAAAGCCACGGCUAACUACGUG